rnacentral:rRNA from 1 species
CAAAGAUUAAGCCAUGCAUGUCUAAGUAUAAGCAAUUAUACAGCGAAACUGCGAAUGGCUCAUUAUAUAAGUUAUCGUUUAUUUGAUAGUGCCUUACUACUUGGAUAACCGUGGUAAUUCUAGAGCUAAUACAUGCUAAAAGACCCGACUUUGGAAGGGUUGUAUUUAUUAGAUUAAAAACCAAUGCCCUUCUGGGUUCACUGGUGAAUCAUGAUAACUUUACGAAUCGCAUGGCCUUGUGCUGGCGAUGGCUCAUUCAAAUUUCUUCCCUAUCAACUUUCGAUGUUUGGGUAUUGGCCAAACAUGGUUGCAACGGGUAACGGAGGGUUAGGGCUCGACCCCGGAGAAGGAGCCUGAGAAACGGCUACUACAUCCAAGGAAGGCAGCAGGCGCGCAAAUUACCCAAUCCCGAUUCGGGGAGGUAGUGACAAUAAAUACUGAUACAGGGCUCUUUUGGGUCUUGUAAUUGGAAUGAGUACAAUUUAAAUCCCUUAACGAGGAACAAUUAGAGGGCAAGUCUGGUGCCAGCAGCCGCGGUAAUUCCAGCUCUAAUAGCGUAUAUUAAAGUUGUUGUGGUUAAAAAGCUCGUAGUUGAACCUUGGGCCUGGCUGGCGGGUCCGCCUCACCGCGUGUACCUCGCCGGCCGGGUCUUUCCCUCUGUGGAACCCCAUGUCCUUCACUGGGUGUGGCGGGGAAACAGGACUUUUACUUUGAAAAAAUUAGAGUGCUCCAGGCAGGCCUAUGCUCGAAUACAUUAGCAUGGAAUAAUAAAAUAGGACGUGCGGUUCUAUUUUGUUGGUUUCUAGGACCGCCGUAAUGAUUAAUAGGGACAGUCGGGGGCAUCAGUAUUCAAUUGUCAGAGGUGAAAUUCUUGGAUUUAUUGAAGACUAACUACUGCGAAAGCAUUUGUCAAGGAUGUUUUCAUUAAUCAGGAACGAAAGUUAGGGGAUCGAAAACGAUCAGAUACCGUUGUAGUCUUAACCAUAAACUAUGCCGACUAGGGAUCGGACGAUGUUACAAUUUUUGACUCGUUCGGCACCUUACGAGAAAUCAAAGUGCUUGGGCUCCAGGGGGAGUAUGGUCGCAAGGCUGAAACUUAAAGAAAUUG